UGAAUACGAGACGCUAAGGCGUCGAAGUAGUGUAUGUCAUACUUCCAAGAAAAGCUUGCACUGUCAUAAAUAGAAGAUGCCUGUACCAUAACCGACACAGGUGGGUAGGUAGAGUAUACUAAGGGGCGCGAGAUAACUCUCUCUAAGGAACUCGGCAAAAUAACUCCGUAACUUCGGGAGAAGGAGUGCCUUAUUCUUAAGGUUGCAAUAACAAGAUCCAAGCAACUGUUUAUCAAAAACACAGGUCUCCGCUAAGUCGCAAGACGAUGUAUGGGGGCUGACGCCUGCCCAGUGCCAGAAGGUUAAAGAAGUUGGUUAGCUUUUGCGAAGCUGAUAACUGAAGCCCUGGUGAACGGCGGCCGUAACAAUAACGGUCCUAAGGUAGCGAAAUUCCUUGUCGGGUAAGUUCCGACCCGCACGAAAGGCGUAAUGAUUUGGAUACUGUCUCGGAGAGGGGCUCGGUGAAAUAGACUUGUCUGUGAAGAUGCGGACUACCUGCACCAGGACAGAAAGACCCUAUGAAGCUUUACUGUAACUUGAAAUUGAAAUUGGACUUUAUUCGCGCAGUAUAGGUGGGAGGCGUUGAUUGUAAUCUUGCGGGAUUAUUGGAGCCAUCAGUGAGAUACCACUCUUGUAAUGUUAGAUUUCUAACUUUGUAUCAUUAUCUGGUCAAAGAACAGUUUCAGGCGGGCAGUUUGACUGGGGCGGUCCCUCCUAAACGGUAACGGAGGCGUACAAAGGUUUCCUCUGAACGGUUAGAAAUCGUAUCUAGAGUGUAAAGGCAUAAGGAAGCUUGACUGUGAGACCUACAAGUCGAGCAGGGACGAAAGUCGGUCUUAGUGAUCUGACGGUACUGAGUGGAAAGGCCGUCACUCAACGGAUAAAAGUUACUCUAAGGAUAACAGGCUGAUCUCCCCCAAGAGUUCACAUCGACGGGGAGGUUUGGCACCUCGAUGUCGGCUCAUCGCAUCCUGGGGCGGUAGUACGUCCCAAGGGUUGGGCUGUUCGCCCAUGAAAGCGGUACGCGAGCUGGGUUCAGAACGUCGUGAGACAGUUCGGUCCAUAUCCGGUGUAGGCGUUAGAAUAUUGAGAGGAGCCUUCUUUAGUACGAGAGGACCGAGAAGGACAUACCUCUGGUGUACCAGUUAUCGUGCCAACGGUAAACGCUGGGUAGCUAUGUAUGGAGUGGAUAACCGCUGAAAGCAUCUAAGUGGGAAGCCCACCUCAAGAUAAG
rnacentral:rRNA from 1 species